rnacentral:rRNA from 1 species
AUUGAACGCUGGCGGCAGGCCUAACACAUGCAAGUCGAGCGGAUGAAGGGAGCUUGCUCCUGGAUUCAGCGGCGGACGGGUGAGUAAUGACUAGGAAUCUGCCUGGUAGUGGGGGAUAACGUCCGGAAACGGGCGCUAAUACCGCAUACGUCCUGAGGGAGAAAGUGGGGGAUCUUCGGACCUCACGCUAUCAGAUGAGCCUAGGUCGGAUUAGCUAGUUGGUGGGGUAAAGGCCUACCAAGGCGACGAUGCGUAACUGGUCUGAGAGGAUGAUCAGUCACACUGGAACUGAGACACGGUCCAGACUCCUACGGGAGGCAGCAGUGGGGAAUAUUGGACAAUGGGCGAAAGCCUGAUCGAGCAAUGCCGCGUGUGUGAAGAAGGUCUUCGGAUUGUAAAGCACUGUUAGUUGGGAGGAAGAGCAGUAAGUUAAUAUCUUGCUGUUUUGACGUUACCAACAGAAUAAGCACCGGCUAACUUCGUG